rnacentral:rRNA from 1 species
GACGAACGCUGGCGGCGUGCUUAACACAUGCAAGUCGAACGAUGAAGACCGGUGCUUGCACUGGUUGGAUUAGUGGCGAACGGGUGAGUAAUACGUGAGUAACCUGCCUUUGACUCUGGGAUAAGCCUUGGAAACGAGGUCUAAUACCGGAUACGACUAACCUUCGCAUGAAGUGUUAGUGGAAAGGGUUUGUACUGGUUUUAGAUGGGCUCACGGCCUAUCAGCUUGUUGGUGAGGUAAUGGCUCACCAAGGCGACGACGGGUAGCCGGCCUGAGAGGGUGACCGGCCACACUGGGACUGAGACACGGCCCAGACUCCUACGGGAGGCAGCAGUGGGGAAUAUUGCACAAUGGGCGCAAGCCUGAUGCAGCGGCGCCGCGUGAGGGAUGACGGCCUUCGGGUUGUAAACCUCUUUCAGCAGGGGAGAAGCGAAAGUGACGGUACCUGCAGAAGAAGCGCCGGCUAACUACGUGCCAGCAGCCGCGGUAAUACGUAGGCGCGAGCGUUGUCCGGAAUUAUUGGGCGUAAAGAGCUUGUAGGCGGUUUGUCGCGUCUGCUGUGAAGCCCGGGGCUUAACUCCGGGUCUGCAGUGGGUACGGGCUAACUAGAGUGCAGUAGGGGAGACUGGAAUUCCUGGUGUAGCGGUGGAAUGCGCAGAUAUCAGGAGGAACACCGAUGGCGAAGGCAGGUCUCUGGGCUGUAACUGACGCUGAGAAGCGAAAGCAUGGGGAGCGAACAGGAUUAGAUACCCUGGUAGUCCAUGCCGUAAACGUUGGGCACUAGGUGUGGGGGACAUUCCACGUUUUCCGCGCCGUAGCUAACGCAUUAAGUGCCCCGCCUGGGGAGUACGGCCGCAAGGCUAAAACUCAAAGAAAUUGGCGGGGGCCCGCACAAGCGGCGGAACAUGCGGAUUAAUUCGAUGCAACGCGAAGAACCUUACCAAGGCUUGACAUAUACUGGACUCCCCUAGAGAUAGGGUUUCCCUUCGGGGCUGGUAUACAGGUGGUGCAUGGUUGUCGUCAGCUCGUGUCGUGAGAUGUUGGGUUAAGUCCCGCAACGAGCGCAACCCUCGUUCUAUGUUGCCAGCACGUGAUGGUGGGGACUCAUAGGAGACUGCCGGGGUCAACUCGGAGGAAGGUGGGGAUGACGUCAAAUCAUCAUGCCCCUUAUGUCUUGGGCUUCACGCAUGCUACAAUGGCCGGUACAAAGGGUUGCGAUACUGUGAGGUUGAGCUAAUCCCAAAAAGCCGGUCUCAGUUCGGAUUGGGGUCUGCAACUCGACCCCAUGAAGUCGGAGUCGCUAGUAAUCGCAGAUCAGCAACGCUGCGGUGAAUACGUUCCCGGGCCU